rnacentral:misc_RNA from 1 species
UUUGAUCUUUAAUUUAAAAAACAACCCUGUCAGAGUUCAGAACUCUGACAGGGUUUCUUGGAGAUUUAAAUUUACA